rnacentral:lncRNA from 1 species
UGUUUUCGUUCAUUUUUUUACAUAAAUAAGGCCGUUAGUUUUCUCGUUUGAAUUGUUUUACAUUGUCUUAUCGGGGCCUUUUAUAGCUCACUAUGCGGUAUGGGCUUUGCUCAUUGUUGAAGGCCGUACGGUGACCUAUAGUUAUUAAUGUCUGUGUCAUUUUGGUCUUUUGUGGAUAGUUGUCGCAUUGGCAAUCAUACCACAUCUUCUUUUUUUUAUAUAC